AUUGAACGCUGGCGGAAUACUUUACACAUGCAAGUCGAACGGUAGAGGGGGCAACCCCUCGAGAGUGGCGAACGGGUGAGUAAUAUAUCGGAACGUGCCCAGUCGUGGGGGAUAACGUAGCGAAAGUUACGCUAAUACCGCAUACGAUCUAAGGAUGAAAGCGGGGGAUCGCAAGACCUCGCGCGAUUGGAGCGGCCGAUAUCAAGAUUAGGUAGUUGGUGGGGUAAAGGCUCACCAAGCCAACGAUCUGUAGCUGGUCUGCGAGGACGACCAGCCACACGGGAACUGAGACACGGUCCAGACUCCUACGGGAGGCAGCAGUGGGGAAUUUUGGACAAUGGACGCAAGUCUGAUCCAGCCAUUCCGCGUGCAGGAUGAAGGCCCUCGGGUUGUAAACUGCUUUUGUACGGAACGAAAAGGUCUCUCUUAAUACGGGGGGCUCAUGACGGUACCGUAAGAAUAAGCACCGGCUAACUACGUGCCAGCCGCCGCAGUAA
rnacentral:rRNA from 1 species